GUGAGGAAUAUUGGUCAAUGGGCGCAAGCCUGAACCAGCCAUGCCGCGUGAAGGAUGACAGCGCUACGCGUUGUAAACUUCUUUUAUACAGGAAGAAACGCUUCUACGUGUAGAAGUUUGACGGUACUGUAUGAAUAAGCAUCGGCUAACUCCGUGCCAGCAGCCGCGGUAAUACGGAGGAUGCAAGCGUUAUCCGGAUUUAUUGGGUUUAAAGGGUACGUAGGCGGAAAAUUAAGUCAGUAGUGAAAUCCCAUAGCUUAACUGUGGAACUGUUAUUGAUACUGGUUUUCUUGAAUAUAGUUGAGGUAGGCGGAAUGUGUAAUGUAGCGGUGAAAUGCUUAGAUAUUACACAGAACACCGAUUGCGAAGGCAGCUUACUAAGCUAUGAUUGACGCUGAGGUACGAAAGCGUGGGGAGCGAACAGGAUUAGAAACCCUAGUAGUCC
rnacentral:rRNA from 1 species